rnacentral:rRNA from 1 species
UACGGAGGGGGCUAGCGUUAUUCGGAAUUACUGGGCGUAAAGCGCACGUAGGCGGACUGAAAAGUCAGAGGUGAAAUCCCAGGGCUCAACCUUGGAACUGCCUUCGAAACUCUCAGUCUUGAGGUCGAGAGAGGUGAGUGGAAUUCGGAGUGUAGAGGUGAAAUUCGUAGAUAUUCGGAGGAACACCAGUGGCGAAGGCGGCUCACUGGCUCGAUACUGACGCUGAGGUGCGAAAGCGUGGGGAGCAAACAGG